UCCAGUGCCAUAUGUUGUGUGAGGUGUCACAGGAAAGAGUCCGUUAAUUGUCUGAAGAGAAAAGGUCUCCUGAGGAGAGAAGAGGUAACUUUCUGGAGGAAAGAAGGGAGAGAUAAACAAGGUCUCUGAAACAGAGAACACGGAAAAGAUGAACUAUGUGACUCUGCCCAAGGACACAAGUGCUACAGUUCAACUAGUCCGUGACCGAUGGAUGUGUAGGUUGAUUUCGCAUCUUUGGGCAAAUUAAUGGAUCCUCCAGCCACAGUCAAGCCUUCAGGUGAUUGCAGCCAAAACCAAGAUCUGAGGACAAUCUCAUGAGAAACCCCGAGCCGAAACUGCUCAGCCACACUACUCCGGAAUUCAUGACACACAGAACGAUGGAUAAUAAUUGCUUGCUGCUGUUUUAAGCUGCUGAGUUUGGGGAUAAUUUAUUA